rnacentral:tRNA from 1 species
GGAAAUGUAGCUCAGUUGGUGGAGUACUUGCCUACCAUGCAUGAAGUCCUGGGUUCAAGACCCAGUACUGCAU